ACCUGGGUGGCUCACUUGGUUGGGCAUCUGACUUCAGCUCAGAUCAACUCAAGGUUUGUGGGUUCGAGCCCCGCAUUGGGCU
rnacentral:tRNA from 1 species